GACGAACGCUGGCGGCGUGCUUAACACAUGCAAGUCGAACGGUAAGGCCCUUUGGGGCACACGAGUGGCGAACGGGUGAGUAACACGUGGGUGAUCUGCCCUGCACUUCGGGAUAAGCCUGGGAAACUGGGUCUAAUACCGGAUAGGACCACUGCCUGCAUGGGUGGUGGUGGAAAGCUUUUGCGGUGUGGGAUGGGCCCGCGGCCUAUCAGCUUGUUGGUGGGGGGAUGGCCUACCAAGGCGACGACGGGUAGCCGGCCUGAGAGGGUGACCGGCCACACUGGGACUGCGAUACGGCCCAGACUCCUACGGGCGGCAGCAGUGGGGAAUACUGCACAAUGGGCGCAAGCCUGAUGCAGCGACGCCGCGUGAGGGAUGACGGCCUUCGGGUUGUAAACCUCUUUCAGCACCGACGAAGCGCAAGUGACGGUAGGUGCAGAAGAAGGACCGGCCAACUACGUGCCAGCCGCCGCAGUAA
rnacentral:rRNA from 1 species